rnacentral:rRNA from 1 species
UACCAGCACCCCGAGUGGUCGGGACGAUUAUUGGGCCUAAAGCAUCCGUAGCCGGUUUUACAAGUCCUCCGUUAAAUCCAGCUGCUUAACAGAUGGGCUGCGGAGGAUACUAUAAGACUAGGAGGCAGGAGAGGCAAGCGGUACUCAGUGGGUAGGGGUAAAAUCCGUUGAUCCAUUGAAGACCACCAGUGGCGAAGGCGGCUUGCCAGAAUGCGCUCGACGGUGAGAGAUGAAAGCUGGGGGAGCAAACCGG